rnacentral:misc_RNA from 1 species
UGUUUUCUCCAUUAGGUCACCUUCUGUAGCUGAAUCUACUGUGCUCCUUGUAGAGGGCAAUAGCCUAUUAUAAAAAUUCUGAAUUAUGAGCCAAUCUUCUAUGUCAUGGUGUGGAGAUUCUCUAUGCAGGUUUUUAUACCUCUCCCAUGCGUCAUAGAGUGAUUUACCUUCCUUUUGCCUGAAGGUGUUGAGUUCUACCCUCAACUUUGCAGUUUUGUAGGUGGGAAAUACCUUGCCAGAAAAGCUUGUGAGAGGUCUUCCUAAGUGGUGAA